UUUUAUGGAUGAGCAAGAAAGUGGCUUCUUGAGAUGGAAUCUACUCCUGGUGAAGAUGCGGUGCAGA
rnacentral:pre_miRNA from 1 species